GUCUAUGGCCAGACCACCCUGAACACGCCUGAUCUCAUUUGAUCUCAGCAGCUAAGCAGGGUUAGGCCUGGCUAGUACUUGGAUGGGAGACAAAGCUUAGCUGCUGAAAAUG
ensembl:rRNA 5S_rRNA 5S ribosomal RNA